UUAGGUUAUAGGUUAUAGCUUUAGGGAAUUGAGAAUGGGUUAUGGUUUAGGUUUAGGAAAUCGGGUUCAGGUUCGGGAUUGGGUUUAAGUUUGGGUUUUCAAGUUUAGGUUUAGGUUAGGGAGUUGAGAUUAGGAUUAGGUGUAGGUUUAGGUUUAGGGAAUUGAGUUUAGGUUAUAGGUUUAGGGAGAGGUUAGGUUUAGGUUAUAGGUUUUGGGAUUUGGGAAUAGUUUUAGGUUAUAAGUAUAGGUUUAGGUUAGGUUAUAGGUUAAGGUUUAGGGAUUUGAGUUUAGGUUAUAGGAUUAGGUUACGGUUUAGGUUUAGGUUAUAGGUUUUGGGAUUUGAGAAUGGGUUCGGGUUUAGGUUAUAGGUUUUGGUUUUGGUUUAGGUUAUAUGUUUUGGUUUAGGUUAUAGGUUUUUGGAUUUGAGAAUGGGUUCGGGUUUAGGUUAUAGUUUAGGUUAUAGGUUUUGGUUUUGGUUUAGGUUUUGGGAUUUGAGAAUGGGUUCGGGCUUAGGUUAUAGGUUUUGGUUUUGGUUUUGGUUUUGGGAUUUGAGAAUGGGUUCGGGUUUAGGUUAUAGGUUUUGGUUUUGGUUUAGGUUAUAGGUUUUGAGAUUUGAGAAUGGGUUCGGGUUUAGGUUAUAAGUUUUGGUUUUGGUUUAGGUUUAUGUUAUAGGUUUUUGGAUUUGAGAAUGGGUUAUGGUUUAGGUUUAGGAAAUCGGGUUCAGGUUUGGGAUUGGGUUUAAGUUUGGGUUUUCAAGUUUAGGUUUAGGUUUAGGUUAGGGAGUUGAGAUUAGGAUUAGGUGUAGGUUUAGCUUUAGGGAAUUGAGUUUAGGUUAUAGGUUUAGGGAAAGGUUAGGUUUAGGUUAUAGGUUUUGGGAUUUGGGAAUAGUUUUAGGCUAUAAGUAUAGGUUUAGGUUAGGUUUUAGGUUAA